rnacentral:lncRNA from 1 species
ACACCGAAUCGAGCUACCAAAUUCUAGAGGAAUGUGGUACUAAUCAAACUCAACUUAUCCAUAUAUAGAACUCACCAAAUGGUGACCUGAGGAAUGAGAAAUUCGAUCGACACCGAAUCCGAACCGGCGGAGUUUUGGAGCUUGAUUUAUCCCUCACAGCGGCGCCACUCGAUGCACCACCUGUCCAGCAAUGAAGUAGAGACGACGGCGAAGCUUUUGGGACAAGUGUGGCGGUCUCUUGUUGCUUGACGGCGGAGCUAGACCGAGAAGAAAAUCCGGAACUUUUUCUGAUUUUCUGACUUCUUACCAUCCACCUUCGGUAAAACUCUUAAAUAAAGAACUUUACCCGACGAAAUUCUUUAUUUUCGUUGGCUAAACUCUUUUGAAAAUUUUGGUUGAAAAUUUUGAAAAUUUUUUCGACUUUAGCCGACGACUUUUCAUAUAUUUUCGUCGGCUAAAGUCCUUUGAAAAUUUUCCUCCAAAUUUGGUUCACCGCCAAAAAAAUUUUGGCCUUAGCCGACGACUUUUUUAAUAUCUCGUCGGCUAAAAUCUAUAAAUUCACGAAAACGCCUUCCACACAAAAAACUUUCACGUAGAUGAGACGCAACGACCUAUAUAAAAAUUUUGAGACAUUUACCUUCCGACGAUAGGGCUCCCCAUAGGGAAUAAUAACGGUAAAUAGGGUUGACCGCUACUAUUAGCACCGAGACGUUACUCGAUUUACGUGAUUUUUGAACCAUAGCUGUAUUUCACCAUUAUGAACACAUCUUAUUUCACGAAAUUUUUGAUAAUUUUGCUUCCUAUGUAGAGUUGGUUCACAGUUGUAUAACCUACUAAACAAGUUAUACAACAUUAGUAGACACGUUGUGAUUCCGAUGACUAAAAUUCACAAACCAAAAUUCGACCGUCAUAUAUGAUCAUUAUGACGAAAGAUGUCUAUAGUAAAAAAUUCAACUGGAUUCGACAACGUUAAGGGCUCGAUCGAAACGAUCAACUCUAAUCGGAAACAAAAAACUACAUUUUAAAGCCCUAAACGGACUCGGAUGGCCAAAAAGGCCCAUAUGCCAUGGCAUAGCAAUAAGUUUGACUCGUAGGGCCGUUACGCUUCCGGAAAGGUAUCACAAUAAUCAAUCGGGCACCAAACGCCAAAUCUGCAGCAUAGUGAAUAAUAAGGGUAAAUUGCAUUGACCGCAACUAUCGGCACCGAGACUUUACCGGAAUACCGUGAUUUUUCAACCGUAGACGUAUUUCACCAUUCUGGUCAUAUCUUAUAUUGCAUAACUUUUUUGCGUUUGAAGGUUCUACGUAUAGUUUUUUUUUCCCAGAUGAGUUGUUGUCCAAAUCUGCAAAUAUAAGGCACUUUAGCCGACGAAAUUAUAUUUUUCGUCGGCUAAACUUUUAAAAAUUUCGGCGGUUAAAGUUCACAAACUUUUAAAAAUUUCGUCGGCUAAAGUUCACAGCCGACGAAAAAAAUUAUUCAGACGACGAAAUUUUAAUUUCGUCGUCCAAAGUUGACUAAAGCCGACAAAAAUUUCGUCGUCCAAAGUUGAUCAAAGCCGACGAAAAUUUAAAUUAGCCGACGAAAAAAUAAUUCGUCGGCCUGGUUUUUUUAUUUUCGUCGGCUAAAGCCUUUCUUCUGGUAGUGUAUAGUGAGGGAGACAUGGCCGGACACGCAGGAGAAAGAGAUGUUCGAAGCCAUAUCUCGGAUCGACACUUCGGAUCCGACGGUUGGGGCAAGGAUCAUGGGCACAGCCUUCCCACCGCGAGCAAACAACUUCUACUGCCGGGGUCUAGGAAAGAAGGGCGAGGGGAUCCUGAAGACCACUCCAGGAUUUCAACGAAAGGCAGCCUUGACCAGUAGCAGGACCACGACCACCAGGACCACUCAGCUAGAGUCGGAAGUUCAGAGACUACGAGAACAGAAAGCUGCUCAGGCAGCAUAUAAUGCCGCGCAGGCACCCUAUGCUGCCGAGAUAUAUACCAUCCAGCAAGCCCAGCAGCAGCAGAUGUUCUAGUACAUGCAGGAGUUUACAACUUCCCAGCUUCAGGGACUUCCGGCUCCGCCCAUGCCUACGGCUAUACCGCUACCCCAGCCGCCGCAACCUCCGCAGCAGCCCCCAGAAGCGGAAAUUAAUUUAGACGAUCUAGAUUUUGUGUAGUUGAUGAAUUAUAUAGUUUUAUGUGCUUGUUGGUUAUAUGGAAUUGUUUUGGUGUAUUUUGCAACUUGCUUAGNNNNNNNNNNNNNNNNNNNNAUAAUUACGCUCAUUAUUGCCUAACUUCAAUAUUCUUACAUCGGACGAUCCGAACUUAAAUAUCAUACUCCACAGUCGUAAAUAUAACCUCCUCAAAAUACGACUUAAAUCCUACGGCCGGAUUCUACAUUAAUUAACCGCCAAAAAUACCAAACUUCGGAAAAUCACAAACCUAUCCAAAUCUCAUCCAAAAAUUCCAUAAAUCACACCAAUAUACUCCUCUUAAUAUUCCACAUUUAAAACCCUAAAAAUCUCCUAACCGGCGGCGGCCGGCAGCCGUUUUCCGGCGACCUGCAAAUGCUACCAAAUUUUAACAGAAUCUUCCUCUCAAUCUCCUCUACAACUUUCAUGACUAACACAUCACCCAAUUCCAAGCCUAACUAGGCUAAUCGAACGAAAACAACUUAAACACCAUAAAACUUCCACCUCAAAUUUCUCCUUACCUAGCUCAAGAGGGAGGGAGCUGUUUGGAGGGGUUGUUGCAUGGGAGGAGGGCUACAAAACCGUACCAAGCUUGCCCGGAUUGGUGGCCGGAGGAGGAAGUUCCGGCGAAGGGAAGUUCGGGACAGCCCUUGCUUUCGGGCGGCACCGCUCUCUCACGGCGGCGCUAGGGCUCCUCUCACCGGUCUAGAAAUGUUGCUGGGAGGGAGACCGACCGAACGGGACCGGUCCGGCGGCGAACGGAGGUCGGACGGCGGCGGGAGGACAGCCGGAAAACCGGGCAGCGGGAGGCUCGGGGAGAGGAAAAGAAAAGAGGGAAAAACAGAAAGGGAGGAGGAAAAUGAAAAUGGGUUGGGCCUCCACCGGUCCAACCUAUAUCAACCCACUUCCAAAAAAAUAAAAACACCCCGAAAAAAUAAUACCCGAAUAAAAAUUACCUUUUACUAGCUAAAAUUUACCAUUUUUACCGUCGUCGUAUUUUCCUCAUACUAAUAAUCCUCCGCACAUAAUCGUCCCCGAAACCCCUCUAGGGACCAAUUAAACUAUUUACUCAAUGAUCGAGACGGUAAAAUUUUUAUUAUAAUCAGGCUAGUAAAUAAGGUAAAAAUAUAAGGGUCGGGAUGUGACAAACGUUGUUAGGGGAUACAAGGCUUGUCUAGAGUGCUUUAGCGAUGAGGGGAGCAGCAGUCAUUGCAACAAGAUAUGCAAAUUGGGUCACCGUACUCUCCUUCCAUAUGAUCACGAAUGGCUGUUCGAUGCACAGGCAUUUGAUGAGACCAUUGAAAACGGUGUGUCUCUCAGAAGAUGGACGGGGGAAGAAAUUUUAGCAGUGCUUAAAGAGUACGAUUUUGGGCAGCUCAGCAAUCAUCCCAAUCUUGUGGCGGCAAUAUCUGAAAGACCCAACAGGUACAAAUUCUGGACACAAAAGAGCAUAUUCUGGGAACUCCCGUACUGGAGUAAGUUGUUGAUCAGACACUACCUAGAUUUGAUGCACAUAGAAAAGAAUGUUUGCAACAGUGUGGUGGGCACAGUGCUGAAUUUGGAGGGGAAGACGAAAGACGGUCCUACGGCACGCAUUGAUCUAAAAAAAAUGCAAUUAAGAAGACAUCUGUGGUUGAAAGAAUGGAAGAAAAAAAUGCCUCAAGCUCCUUACACCGUGAAGCCUGGCUAAAAGAACGUAAUUUUCAAGUGGAUGAGUUGUGUGAAGUAUCCUUCAGGCUAUGCAGGAAAUAUAGCCCGGUGUGUAAACUUCCGGAACAAUAAGAUGUACGGGUCGAAGAGUCAUGACUGUCAUAUCCUGCUACAACUUCUCUUCCCUGUUUUCAUUCGACCGUUCCUUCACCGUCAGGUGGUGGAGCCGUUAGUAGCGUUGGCAAGAUUCUUCCAGAAGUUAUGCACACGGGAAGUGAAAAAAUCUAACCUUCGGGAAAUGCAAGAGGACAUCAUUUAUAUCAUGUGUAAAUUUGAGAAGAUAUUUCCUCCAAAUUUUUUCACAUCAUGCCUCACCUAAUGAUCCAUCUUCCCGAGAAAUUGUUGCUUACCGGUCCAAUACACUACACUUGGAUGUAUCCCAUGGAAAGGUACGUUUUUUACACUUGAAUUCCUCAAUAUACAUGUUCAAUAAUCAUAACACUUUGCAACUUUAUUUAUAAGCAACUUGGAGACUAUAAAGAUUAUGUGGCUAAUAAAUCCGCGCCUGAAAAAUGUAUAGCUGAAAAAUAUAUUGCGCACGAGUGCGUCACCUAUAUGAAGUUGUAUUUAGGAGCGUUGAAGGAAACUCCGCAAACCAUACCGGUAGAUGUACCAAAGUUCAAACUUUCCAUACUCUCCAGUGAUGUUGAAGUUUAUGGAAUUUUGCCAGACUCCUACAAGUUGCAACCACAUGAGCUAGUCAUUGCCCACUGGUGGGUAUUGAUUAACUGUCCAGAAGUUGAAUACUGGAAAGAUAUCCAUGUAAAUUGUCCAGACAUUCAAGGUGAUCUCGAUUACCACAACAUGGAGUUCGCAAACUAUUUUGGCGGCUGGGUACGUAAUUCAAUAUUUCUGUACGUGUUUAUGUUUAUUGCAUAAUUAUUCAUAUUUACAGUUGAAUGGUUGGUUGCAGAUGAACCAUAUUCAAUUUGAUGGUCACCCAAUUUGGUCGCACGAACUAAGACUUCUAGCGAUGAAGCCGAUGAUGUCAAGAGUUUAUCCGAUGUCCAAGGUGAAUGGCGUGCAAUUUAUAUGUGAAUAGAGAGACAGCAGACGGAGAACACAAAAUUCUGGGGUCAUGGCACAUGGUGGGCGGAAUGGAGUUGACUAUUACGGUGUUCUCCAUUCAAUGGUGGAACUCGUUUAUGGGCAAGGCAUGACAGUGCACCUCUUCAAGUGUAGAUGGUUUGAUACUAGGCCGCAGAGCAUGAAGACCGAUCAGUACGGAAUAUUAUUGGUGAACAUUGCUACAAGUUCUUACGAAGAUGACCCGUUCGUUUUUGCCACAUUGGUAAAACAAGUGUUUUAUCUUUAUGACUUUGCUAAGGGUGACGCGUGGAAAGUAGUCAACCUUGUGUACCCACGAAAAAUUUACCGGGCGGCUACACUUGGAGAGGCCGAAGACGAGGAAGAAGAUGUUGCGUAUCAAGAGCCCAACGCAAUAGGUAUUCCUAAUUAUUCUACCGUUCGUCUUAGUAAUUUUAAAGCGGGUCGUUCGGUGCGAAUUCAUGAUGAAGAGCCAAGGCUUAUUGAUGUUGAUCAAAAUCAAGAAACAGACGAAGACUCUGGCGAUGAGGAAAGGCAUAGAUUACCAGAAAUUAAUUCUGACACCAAAGAAGACUCAUCGAAUGAUUCCGAUUACGAGCCUUAGUUUUAAUUCCGAUUACAUUAAUUUAUAAUAAAGAAGAAUGUAUAACCUUUAUAGUUUACAUAUAUUGAAUUCAUAUUUCUGUUAUUUUAUAUGAAUUUUGGUGAUAUAUGAACAUAAAGUUAGUAUGGUUUAAACCUUCUGUUUUUUUAAUGUAUUUUUACACUUUAGCUGACGAAAUAUACCAUAAUUUGUCGGCUUAAACCAUCUUAACCGACGAAAUAUACCAUAAUUUGUCGGCUUAAACAAUCUUAGCCGACGAAAUAUACCAUAAUUCGUCAGCUUAAAUCAUCUUAGCCGACGAAAUAAGUCAUAAUUCGUCGGCUAAGAUGCGGUUAGCCGACGAAUACCCUAAUAUUUCGUCGGCUAAGCCCUAAACCCUAAAAAUUUUAUAUGACUUGUUGGGUCUCAUCAGUUUGAAACUAUUUUCAGUUGAAGGUCCGGCCAAAAUACGUAAUUUAGACUGUCCAAUAACCUUUUCCGUGCGUUUAGGGGUUUGACUUAAGGGAUUGACCGUCCGGAUCGAGCCCUUAACCUUAUCGGAUCAAGUUGAAUUUUUUUCCAUACAUGUAUUUUAUCAUGAUGGUCAGAUCUGACGGUGUGAUUUUCGCUUCUCAAGUUUGAUCAUCACAAUCACAACAUGCCUACUAAUGUUGUAUAACUUGUUUACCAAGUGUUGAAGUAAAUGUCUUGUUUCAAAAACAAAAUAUACGUAGAACCUUCAAACGCAAAAAAGUCGUGAAAUAAGAUAUGACCAGAAUGGUGAAAUACGUCUGCAUUUGAAAAAUCAUGGUAUUCUGGUAAAGUCUCGGUGCCGAUAGUUGCGGUCAAUGCAAUUUUCCAUUCUUUAUCCCUAUGGGUAGCCCUAUCUUCGGUGGUUAUUUUCCGUAAAAUUUUUAUAUGACUUGUUGGGUCUCAUCGGUUUGAAACUAUUUUCAGUUGAAGGUCCGGCCAAAAUAUGUAAUUUAGACGGUCCAAUGACCUUUUCCGUACGUAUAGGGGUUUGACUUAACGGAUUGACUGACCGGAUUGAGCCCUUAACCUUGUCGGAUCAAGUUGAAUUUUUUCCUAUACAUGUAUUUUAUCAUGAUGGUCAGAUCUGACGGUCGGAUUUUCGUUUCUCAAGUUUGAUCAUCACAAUCACAAUGUGCCGAAUGUAUAAAAGUGCUUUAGCCGAUGAAUUUCAAAGGUUAGCCGACGAAUUUUAAAGGUUUAGCCGACAAAUUUUAAAGUUUAACCGACGAAUUUCAAAUUUUAGCCGACGAAUUUCAAAGUUUAGCCGACUAAUUUAAAGGUUUAGCCGACGAAACGGUAUACAGACGAAGACCCAUCGCUUGACAGCCUCCACAACGCGUUUCAAAAACCCUAGCUAGCCUCCUCUGCCUCCUCCGCCUCCCUCUCCCGGUCUCCCGGUCUGCCUCCUCCGCCUCCUCUCCCUCUCUCGGUGUCCCGGUUGCCCUCUCCCUCUCUCGGUCUCCCAGUCCGCCUCCUCCACCUACUGCCCUAGCCCCGAUCCGUCCUCCUAAUACCGGCCGGCCUGCUUGAGCCCUCCCUCCUCCUGCUGUUGCUCUAGCCCUCUCUCCUCCUCUUGCUGCUCCAACCUCGAGCCCUCCCUCCUCCUCAAGUCCAUUUCAACCCGGAGAGGUGUCCGAUCUCUCUUGGGUUUCGACUGCAUUUCAGGUAAUUUUGCGAUUGUUGUUAUGCAUUGAUGACGUGCGUUAGUUGUUGUCUUUGAAUUUGCGGAGGAGUUGGCUUUAUGUGUUUGCUAGUUAGAGGCAUUCAUUCUCACAUUUAUUCUCUAGGACAAGUGACGAUUGCUUAUUGUUUUCUGCUCAUAGUUUGGAAGAUCUCUCGGUCAUUUUAAUUCAUGUUUCUGAAAUUUAGUCCUUGUUCUCAAUCAAAAUUUAAUGGGGUACUAAGGAGAUGAGGUCAUUUGAAUUUGUUGUGAAUUUUGGAGAAUUAGGAAACAUAAUUUGUAUUUGGUAUCUAAGCCAAUAUAGAUAGUGCUGAAGUGCGUCAAUUANNNNNNNNNNNNNNNNNNNNAGUUGAUGAAUUAUAUAGUUUUAUGUGUCUUGUUGGUUAUAUGGAAUUGUUUUGGUGUAUUUUGCAACUUGCUUAGAAUGGUAAUUUAGUAAAUUUUUGGGGUUUUUUUUUUUACUGGAAUGGACUUAUAGCCGACGAAAUUCGACAUAAUUCGUCGGCUAUAGUUAUUUUUAAUUUUUUUUAUAAGGUUUAGCCGAUGAAUUAUGGAAAUGUCUCGUCGGCUAAACCCUGCUAAAGCCGACGACACAGACUAUAUUUUGUCGGCUUUAGUUAUUUUUUAUUUUUUUAUUACAUACUAUAGCCGACGAAUAUAUUAAACGUUUCGUCGGCUAAAGUCUCAGACUAAGUCGACGAAACAUUUAAGAUAUUCGUCGGCUAAAUUCUAGGAAAAAAGCCGACGAUCUCUUUUUCGUCGGCUAAAUUUUGAGACUAAAGCCGACGACGUCUUCUAGUUUCGUCGGCUAAAGUGAUUGCCAACGACUUUUUCCCGACGAAAUCUUAGCCGAUGAAGGCUUGUCAACUAAGAUCUUAGCCGAUAAAUUAAGCUAACAGGCCGACGAAACUUUUUCGUUGGUUAAAGUGCUUGUCCUGGUAGUGUUAGUAUGUGAUAAAUAUGGACAAAAUUGUUCAGAUUCCCAAAUAGGGCCCAACUUUGGCUGUUUGACAAAAAAUGGCGAAAUUACUUUGGGCCCUUUGAUGUGCCCCUGUUGGUCUGUGCCUAGUGCGGUCGCACGGGCCGCAUUGGGCUUGGGCCGAGCUUGCAUAUGAAUAUAACCCUCAGCUCAACACAGGAAUAGCAAAAGAACAGUGGUAAUGUAACUCCAAUUUCUUCAAUACCAGAUAAACAGAACAGCUGAAAAUUUGACACCAUCUCACAAAUAAGCAGAACAAGCACUCAGACUCAUACACUCAAACCAUAAUCCAACUUAUUAGGUCGAGUAAUUAGUCCGAAAAACAAGAUAUAAAUUUACUUCGCCACCUUUUUCUUUGGUUGACGGCAUACACAAUUUUGAUAAAAGAAAUUACGAAAAGUUGACAAUAUCAUGCAUACAAGCCAAGACCACAACAAGAAUCUAUGAAACAAGUGACUGAACUACACAUUCGAAUCGAUUCUACCAAAUCUUGUUGAAUGCUCCACAAUAUGAAGAGAGUCACAAUAGCCAGAGAGGCUCAUCUACUGAAUACUAACACAAGCUUUACACACUCUCAUUCUUCAAUUCUAAACGCAGGCAACCAUCUCUCAAGGAAACACACAACUAUCAAAUGUAGCCACAUAAUCAAAACGAAAUUUAGAUCAUCUUUCCAACAUCACUAGUCCAAAACAAAUAUAAAAUUUUUCUUCAAACUUCAACUUAAGUUCAAUUAACAAAAGAAAAAACAGACAAAUGAUGACGCAUGGCAAGGUGUAACCCAAAAACUCAGCUUCAAUUAUAUGAUCCCAAAGAUAGAGAUACUCAGUCAGAAAGAUAUUACCAAUCUAUAUUGCAAGCUGUGUGAGAUACCCAACCUAUUGCAAGAGAGUCACAAAUAUACAAUUUUUCUUCAAAUUUUAAACUUCAAUUAACAAAAGAAAAAAUGGACAAAUGAUGACGCAGUGUCAGGACCCACCCCAAAUUUCACCCCGAAACACGAGGUAAAUCCUGUGGGGUCCACUUUCAAGGAAAAUUUACCGAAAAUUCGGCAUAACCUUCCUUGAAAAUGGACAACCCUUACCUGAAAAAAAAAAAUCCAAUUUACACUUCUAUAACCAAAUAAACCAGCCUCAACACCUGGAGCCUUCCUGCUCCCCAAGUUCAUCACAUCCCCCAAAUUAAUCAAAUACUAAACUUUAGGAAUUCCACAACCAACAACAAAGACAACAUUUAUUCACUAACUGGUUAUCAGAGCAUAUCUAGUAAUGAAAGAAUAACAAUGAAUAAAGAUUAAGCUGAAGCAGCCUCUGACUAUGUCUCGACUCUAAUUUAACAAUACAGAAUUAGACAUGUAAACUUCUCAAUCCCCAGGUGGCGGACUACCGCCUAGGAGUGGAUCUUGAGUUGAUCUAUUUUUACUUAUUUUGUGAAGUGUUUUUGAUUCCUGUCCGUUAAUUUUAAGGAUUAUUGUUUUAUUUUCUUUUCCUUAUCUCCUUUUGAGCCUGUUACUCUCCUCAACCAAACAAUAAGUACAGGUCCAAACACUAAGUCCCAUGUGAGGCAUGAGCGGAUGCGGCAUGAGCGGCGUAGAGAAAGUAAUAGUCUUUAGGAUCUUAAGCCAAGGAUCUUAAAACCUCCUAUCCUUUUAGUUUCGGUCAAGUUUUCUCUUCUCAUCCCAAAAUGAGUCGACUUUUUAGGUCUAACUCAGUCACUUCUAGUUCGUCUAAGUCCUCCCUCAAUAGAAUCUCAUAUAUAAGCAACGAAGAACAAAUAGAGUUUUAGUCAAACGAUAACAUAGACAUGAAUGACUGGAAUAUUCCUAGAGUUCCUAGUCAUGAAAUUUAUUGAGACAUUUACUUUCCGACGAUAGGGCUCCCCAUAGGGAAUAAUAACGGUAAAUAGGGUUGACCGCUACUAUCGGCACCGAAACGUUACCCAAUUUACGUGAUUUUUGAACCAUAGCCGUAUUUCACCAUUCUGAACACAUCUUAUUUCACGAGAUUUUUGAUAAUUUUGCUUCCUAUAUAGAGUUGGUUCACAAAGUUGUAUAACCUGUUAAACAAGUUACACAACAUUAGUAGACACGUUGUGAUUCCGAUGACUAAAAUUCACAAACCAAAAUUCGACAGUCAUAUAUGAUCAUUAUGAUGAAAGAUGUCUGUGGUAAAAAAUUCAACUGGAUCCGACAACGUUAAGGGCUCGAUCGAAACAGUCAACCCUAAUC